UCCGGUGUCGAUUACUAUGAGGCCAUACCUGUUUACAUACCGAACACAGAAGUCAAGCUCAUGAGUGCCGAUGAUACUUGGCGGGAGACUGCCCGGAAAAGUAGGUGAUGCCGGAU
rnacentral:rRNA from 1 species